rnacentral:rRNA from 2 species
AACGGUGGCCAUAGCGGAGGGGAUCACCUGUAACCAUUUCGAACACAGAAGUUAAGCCCUCCAGCGCCGAUGGUACUGCAGGGGCAGCCCUGUGGGAGAGUAGGUAGCCGCCGACC